CCUACGGGUGGCAGCAGUGAGGGAUAUUGGUCAAUGGGGGAAACCCUGAACCAGCAACGCCGCGUGAGGGAAGACGGUUUUCGGAUUGUAAACCUCUGUCCUCUGUGAAGAUAAUGACGGUAGCAGAGGAGGAAGCUCCGGCUAAAUACGUGCCAGCAGCCGCGGUAAUACGUAGGGAGCAAGCGUUGUCCGGAUUUACUGGGUGUAAAGGGAGCGCAGACGGCUGUGGAAGUCUGGAGUGAAAGGCGGGGGCCCAACCCCCGGACUGCUCUGGAAACUGUAAAGCUGGAGUGCAGGAGAGGUAAGCGGAAUUCCUAGUGUAGCGGUGAAAUGCGUAGAUAUUAGGAGGAACACCAGUGGCGAAGGCGGCUUACUGGACUGUAACUGACGUUGAGGCUCGAAAGCGUGGGGAGCAAACAGGAUUAGAUACCCCUGUAGUC
rnacentral:rRNA from 1 species